GAGGGUACAGCUCGGUGGCAGAGCAUAUGCUCAGCAUGCAUGAGGUCCUGGGUUCAAUCCCCAGUACCUCCA
rnacentral:tRNA from 1 species